GUUGUAUGGUUAAGCGACUAACCGUACACGGUGGAUGCCUUGGCAGUCAGAGGCGAUGAAAGAAGUAGUAACUUGCGAUAAGCCCAGAUUAGGUAGUAACAACCAUUUGAGUCUGGGAUUUCUGAAUGGGGGAACCCACGUGCAUAAGCACGUAUCCUUACCUGACUACAUAGGGUAAGGAGGCGAACCGGGGGAACUGAAACAUAUAAGUACGCCGAGGAAAAGAAAUCAACCGCGAUUACGAAAGUAGCGGCGAGCGAAAAUGGGCUAG
rnacentral:rRNA from 1 species